rnacentral:rRNA from 1 species
GGAAAAGAAACCAACAGGGAUUGCCUUAGUAACGGCGAGUGAAGCGGCAAAAGCUCAAAUUUGAAAUCUGGCACCUUCGGUGUCCGAGUUGUAAUUUGAAGAAGGUAACUUUGGGAUUGGCUCUUGUCUAAGUUCCUUGGAACAGGACGUCACAGAGGGUGAGAAUCCCGUGCGAUGAGAUGACCAAUCCUAUGUAAAGUGCUUUCGAAGAGUCGAGUUGUUUGGGAAUGCAGCUCUAAGUGGGUGGUAAAUUCCAUCUAAAGCUAAAUAUUGGCGAGAGACCGAUAGCGAACAAGUACAGUGAUGGAAAGAUGAAAAGAACUUUGAAAAGAGAGUGAAAAAGUACGUGAAAUUGUUGAAAGGGAAGGGCUUGAGAUCAGACUUGGUAUUUUGCAUUCCUUACCUUCGUGGUGGGGUUCCUUGCAGUUUACUGGGCCAGCAUCGGUUUGGAUGGUGGGAUAAUGACAUUGGAAUGUGGCUCUGCUUCGGUAGAGUGUUAUAGCCAGUGUUGAUACCGCCUGUCUAGACCGAGGACUGCGUCUUUGACUAGGAUGCUGGCAUAAUGAUCUUAAGUCGCCCGUCUUGA